rnacentral:pre_miRNA from 1 species
AAGCUACUCCCUCCGUUCGGAAUUACUUGUCGUAGAAAUGGAUGUAUCUAGAUGUAUUUUAGUUCUAGAUAUAUCCAUUUCCGAGACAAGUAAUUCCGAACGGAGGGAGUAUUUU